AUGGAAACUUUGGUUUUUUGGCAGCAACCAAAACAUAACAGUAGCAGCAUUUUGGACAAUGACAAGGCAGUAGGACCUGGUUUCCUUGUGGACAGAUUGUGCAGGCUGGUUGGACUGAUAUGGUGCAGAUUCACAGCACUGGACAAUAUGACACUUUUCAGGAUUUCGUGGGUGUUUGUGGGCAGCAAGAUAGCAUUGGCAUGGAAUGAUUUUUCGAGUGUUUUGCUUGGAGCUUUGUUAAUGUUUUCUUCUUGA